AUUGAACGCUGGCGGCAGGCUUAACACAUGCAAGUCGAGCGGAGUGAUGGUGCUUGCACUAUCACUUAGCGGCGGACGGGUGAGUAAUGCUUAGGAAUCUGCCUAUUAGUGGGGGACAACAUCUCGAAAGGGAUGCUAAUACCGCAUACGUCCUCCGGGAGAAAGCAGGGGAUCACUUGUGACCUUGCGCUAAUAGAUGAGCCUAAGUCGGCUUAGCUAGUUGGUGGGGUAAAGGCCUACCAAGGCGACGAUCUGUAGCGGGUCUGAGAGGAUGAUCCGCCACACUGGGACUGAGACACGGCCCAGACUCCUACGGGAGGCAGCAGUGGGGAAUAUUGGGCAAUGGGGGCAAGCCUGAUCCAGCCAUGCCGCGUGUGUGAAGAAGGCCUUAUGGUUGUAAAGCACUUUAAGCGAGGAGGAGGCUACUUUAGUUAAUACCUAGAGAUAGUGGACGUUACUCGCAGAAUAAGCACCGGCUAACUCUGUGCCAGCCGCCGCCGUAA
rnacentral:rRNA from 1 species